CUUCCCUGCGACACUUCAUUCGCGACUUGCGAAUGAAUCAUCUAGCUAGCAUCGUUUACGGCUGGGACUACCCGGGUAUCUAAUCCGGUUCGCUCCCCCAGCUUUCAUCCCUCACCGUCGAGCGCGUUCUGGCGGACCGCCUUCGCCACUGGUGGUCUUCCGCGGAUCAAAGGAUUUUACCCCUACACGCGGAGUACCGUCCGCCUCUCCCGCCUCCUAGUCCCGCGGUAUCCUCUGCAGGUCACCCGUUGAGCGGGUGGAUUUAACAGAGGACCUACGGAACCGGCUACGGAUGCUUUA
rnacentral:rRNA from 1 species